GACGAACGCUGGCGGCGCGCUUAACACAUGCAAGUCGAGCGAGAACCAGUCCUUCGGGACUGGGGACAGCGGCGAACGGGUGAGUAACACGUGGGUAAUCUGCCCUCAGUUCUGGGAUAGCCCGGGGAAACUCGGAUUAAUACCGGAUAGCCUCUUGAGCCCUCGAGCUCUCGAGAAAAGGUAGCUUCGGCCUCCGACUGAGGAUGAGCCCGCGGUGGAUUAGCUUGUUGGUGGGGUAACGGCCUACCAAGGCGACGAUCCAUAGCUGGUCUGAGAG
rnacentral:rRNA from 1 species